rnacentral:rRNA from 1 species
AACGAACGCUGGCGGCAGGCUUAACACAUGCAAGUCGAGCGCCCCGCAAGGGGAGCGGCAGACGGGUGAGUAACGCGUGGGAAUCUACCCAUCUCUACGGAAUAACGCAUGGAAACGUGUGCUAAUACCGUAUACGUCCUUCGGGAGAAAGAUUUAUCGGAGAUGGAUGAGCCCGCGUUGGAUUAGCUAGUUGGUGGGGUAAAGGCCUACCAAGGCGACGAUCCAUAGCUGGUCUGAGAGGAUGAUCAGCCACAAGGGGACUGAGACACGGCCCAGACACCUACGGGAGGCAGCAGUGGGCAAUAUGGGACAAUGGGCGCAAGGCUGAUCCGGGCAGGCGGCCUGAGUGAUUAAGGCCCUAGGGUUGUAAAGCUCUUUGACCGGUGAAGAUAAUGACGGUAACCGGAGAAGAAGCCCCGGCUAACUUCGUGCCAUCCGCCGCGGUAAUAC